ensembl:lncRNA
CAUCCAUGGGAUUCUCCAGCAAGAAUACUGGAGUGGGUUGCCAUUUCCUUCUCUAGGGGAUCUUUCAGAUCCAGGCAUUGAACCAACAUCUCCUACGGCUCCUGCAUUGCAGGUGGAUUCCUUACCGCUGAGCCACCAGGGAAGUCCUUACUGCAUUUAUAGUCAUCAUCAAUAGCAGGAUGAAAAAUAGGGGGACAUGAGAACUAUUUUUGCAAAACUGGAGUAUAGGCAGUUUAAUAAGGCCAGCUUCUGAUUUAACAAAGAAGAAGAAAUGAGGCUCUAGGAUAGACAUUUACCAGCCAAGACCACUCAGCUCUUUAAGACAGAGCUCAAAAGUUCUAUUUCACUUUUGGCCAUAAGGAACAAGCCCACAGACAAUCUUGGGCUGAGUGAGUGGUGACCAGAAUAAGAAGCAUACAAGGGAAAUGAAGAAAAGCUGAACUGGGCUUCCAGAACAGAAGGCUCCAAAUACUGGUUUUAUAUCCAGUCUAUUUAGGUCCAUCAGCAGAAUAAGUUUGAAAACCUUUGCUCUUUAAUAUUAUUCUCCACAUAUUGAACUUUCUCUUUUCUCUUCCAGCUUGAGUCUUAAUCCUCCACAGGAUAUUUGUUAUUUGGGGGGAUAUCUAACAAUCUUUUUUUAUCUGCUUUUGGGACAUCCCAAACUUUUUGGGAGAAAUUCUACUCCUGUGUGGUGGGCAGGCCCACUGAGCCUGAUAAUCAGGUUGUUCUGCCAGUGGGAUGGCUGUAUGACCUAGGUUAGGCCAACUGGAUUCUUUUGCUACCAUCAGAACCACCCCAGAUGAUAAAUCUUGAGCUGAGUGAUGCAAAAAUGGGAAACCAUAGGUUGGAGCUCAUUCUUAUCCACAGUGAAGACAGUCUUGGUAAGAACAUUUGUUCUUGCUCUCCCAUGGCUACUCCACAGCUUCCCUGUGUUCUUUCCUCUUCUGGGCAUGUUCUCCAUCCUUUUAUUCUGUGAACUUUUAUUGGGUUGGCCAAAAACUUUGGGUUUUUCUGUAAAACUUUUUGGCCAAUCCAAUACAGCCCUACAACAAAUCACUGUCUCUUUAAGCUUGGCCAUACCAGAUUUCCUGAAUCCAAAGAACUUACAUCAAAAAAACUCUGUUGGGUAUUUGUCUGUCUCUACAGAGAUUCUGUUCAUUCCUGGCAUUUGCUCUCUGGUAGCUUUAGCUUGCCCAUGGCUCAUUAUGGUGUUCCAAGCCUCACUACGUAGCCAUGACUAGGAAACCUUAAUGUAAGCAAGGGGGAGUGGUUCUUAAACAUGCCUUUCCAUCUAGGUCAUACAUGAAUCCAA